rfam:Aedes albopictus isolate Foshan contig86970, whole genome shotgun sequence.
UGUUCUUUGGCUUAGCUGGUUAAAGCGCUGGUCUAGCGAAUACGGAGUCGUGGGUUCAAAUUCCACCAGAACGC